rnacentral:lncRNA from 1 species
CCCAUCUUUGCCGCCACGGUCUAACGUUUUUCGUUUUACUUGUUGUCCAAGCACGAAACGCCUCUCUCUGUCUCUGUCUCCCUCUCGCUCCCUCUCGCUCCCUGUCUCUCCCUGUGUGUCUCUGUGUGUGUCUCUCUCUCUAUAAAUACACGGAGGCCAUCGCCUCUCCCUGCUGGGGUUUCGAAGGAAAACGACUGCUUACUGUCACCUUCGUUCUCCCUUCCGUUUUUCACAGCCUCCUCUUUCUUCUUGUCUGCGGAUAGGCAACUCUCUGCUUCUUCUCGACAGCGGAACGCCCGGAGCGGCCUUUCGGCGCCCGGCGUUCACGAAGAGGCGGAGAGACACCUCUCGCGCCCAGCGCACAGGACACAAGGAAUGCCUUCACAGCCCGUUAGCUUCAUCGUUUCUUUCGAGCGCAAAGAGGAGCGUUUCAGUCGCGAGAAGAGCGACACGGCCUCGCCGCGCUGGGCUCUCGGAACGGCGCGUGGAGUUGGGACGCCUCCACUUUUUUUUCUCCAAGUCCCUCCUCGAAGCUGCAAGCUCAUAUGAAUCAUUCAAGAUAUAUUUAUCUAUCGCAGGUUCGGUCUCCUGUCGCGUAAAAAAAAUCCUGUAUAGAACGCUCGGCGUCUGGUCCGUUUUAAAUAGAGAUCCUACUGGCGGCAAGAAGAGGAGUCAGAGCUGCUUCGAUGCGGCAAUUCGAAAACCACACACGGUCCUGGUUUGAGGAGAAAGACGCGCAUCCGAAGGAGGCAACGGUGGCUUCUUUGUACGAAUCUCGAUGUGGGGCAUGCGGAAGUCAGUCGAGCCUGUGACCGUUUUCGGCCUGAGGGGAGUCUAUGUUCCCUGGAGCCGGCUCCAAAGGUGUAUUCAAGGAGACUCUCUUUCGUCCGCUUGACCCAAGCGUUGACAAAGCCCGCGGAAGACGCACGAGGGUCGCGUUAAGACAUUGGAGGGAGACGCACGGUGGAUUUAGGAGGUUUUCUCUCGACUCCAGAAAGCUUACGUCGACGAUCGAGCUGCCGUCCCACUUUUUGCCGGGUCCGAGAGAGGGAGAAGCAUCUCCGACUCGGGUUUCGCUACAGCCCCAAGCCCUCCCGACGCAACGGCGCAGUCAACUAGCCACGAGGUCUCCAGUGUAGAGACACUUCAGAUCUGCGCCUGGUGUGGGAGCCCUUUCUCUCCAUUGUCCAGAUCGUCCUGUUUUAGUGGCUGCUGGCUGCUGUGGAAAACUAGGCACGCGAGGGAGGGGACGGCGCGCGCGGAGCUACGCAUGUCCAGCAAGCGAAACACGGAAGCGCUGCAGAAAGAACGGAUUUAAAGACGUGUGUGCGGUUCUCAGUUCUCCCUGUUGGGGUGUCGCCCUCAGCACGCGUUUUCACAACGCGAGAACAAGACUCGCCAG